rnacentral:lncRNA from 1 species
AUUUGUAUUAGAAAAGAAUCUGGAAUCUGAGUGCAUGCUGACCUCCCAUUGACUUCUGUUCUAUUACUGUAACCCAUCAGAGAGAUGUGAGGAGUUGGUUGCGAUUCCCAUCGGGAUCAUGUCCAAAGACCACAGCAUCUUUUGGCACCAACAGCUGUCUGUGCUUCCUUAGAAGGAGCCACCUGACAAACAGGUGGUUGAACAAGGUGGCCCCAGGAAAGUAUCUCCAGAGGCAGUUGGAUUUUUGUCUGCUGUUGGGGUGUUUAUUAUCUUGAUGCUGCUCCU